rnacentral:rRNA from 1 species
UGGGGAAUUGUUCGCAAUGGGCGCAAGCCUGACGACGCAACGCCGCGUGGAGGAUGAAGACCUUCGGGUCGUAAACUCCUUUCGACCGAGAAGAAUGGCCUACGACCUCAUACGUCGUAGGCAUGACGGUAUCGAGGGAAGAAGCCCCGGCUAACUCUGUGCCAGCAGCCGCGGUAAUACAGGGGGGGCAAGCGUUGUUCGGAAUUACUGGGCGUAAAGGGUUCGUAGGUGGCCAACUAAGUCAGACGUGAAAUCCCUCAGCUUAACUGGGGAACUGCGUCUGAUACUGGAUGGCUUGAGUGCAGGAGAGGAAUGCGGAAUUCCAGGUGUAGCGGUGAAAUGCGUAGAUAUCUGGAGGAACACCGGUGGCGAAGGCGGCAUUCUGGACUGUAACUGACACUGAGGAACGAAAGCCAGGGGAGCAAACGG